CAUUUUAGCUUUGCCAUCCGCGGACGGCUUGAGUGUUAACCAGCUCGGUGGACCGUUUGCCUUUCUGCGAGGGCAGCGGCUUCCUCUAGAAUAAAGAAUGAAGAAAAUUGAAAUGAUCUCUGAAACUCGAGAAUAGUUAUGUAAAAGAGAAAAAACAAAGUCUAUCGUUCAAAGGCUACUGAACCAGGAAACAGGCAGCCCGCGUUAAAAUCCCAGCUCUGGGAUCAACUGGUUAGAUUAUUUUCAUUCAGGCAUCUUUUCUUUCUGCACUACUUCAUCUACCAGUUGCUAACAUUGAAUGAACCUUUACAGUGUUCCAGGUACUGUUUUAAGAGAUUUUCUAUACUCAUAUAACAUUUUUGAAAGAAAAAGUGAAAUAUAGGCCUACAUGUUCAGCCUCAACGUGAACGUGAUGAGGAUGAAGACCUUUAUGAUAAUCCACUUUCACUUAGUGAAUCGGGAUUGGACUGCUGCAUUCUAAAAAUAAUGGUGAGAAGAAUGAAUAAAUUAGAGUUUACUAUGUAAUAAAACCUUCUAAAAAAGAGGAGAGGUAGCAGAAUUUACAAGAAGGUUAAACCUGACCUUACUGAAGAGAAUGAUACCCUCAUAGCAGCGCAUCUUCUUUGCUCACAGAAAGCUCCUUGGACAAAUGUGUUUUGAGUUUCAAGUGAGCAAACCUUCAAUGUGUCUGCCAUUUUGGGGAAGAAGUUGUAACUUGGAGUGAAGGUAGAGGGAUUUAUUAUGAGAGCUUUGCUAGCAGACAUCUCAUUCUUUAAGACAAAAUCAACGCACAAACAUAAUUGGUCAAAGGAAGAAAGCUACAAAACCAAUUCAAUAACAUCUGAAGCCUGAGAGGAAAAUGAAAGACAAGAGGCUGUGGCUGCAGCUGUGUCUGCUGACAACAGGAUAAAAAUGGUUGCAUUGAGAGUGAGCUGCAUUUUCACCAGGCAGAGCAAACUGGGAGCUAAUGUGUUUCUUGGAAAUCAAAAGAGGACUCCAAGAAUAGAAGCUUUUAAGAGGACUGGCUGGAGAGUCAAAGAAGAUCCAUUAGCUUCUGGACCACUGAAAACCUAAGGGCUGAUGGUGGGGCAGGGUAAGUGGCCGGCAGCAGGGAGACAUUUUCUGUAUCUAGGAUGGUAUAGAAAAGACCCCCACUGGACAGAUCUACAAAGAACAACUAAAGAGUCUCAUGGUAGAACAGGUCAGCUCUGGACAUCAUUCAAAUCCAGGGGAGCCUCUUAUACUGGAUUGCAAUUGUGUUGGGCAUGUACAAUGGUGUUCUUUUUCUCUAAUGGCUUCUUUCUUCUGGUCAGUCUCUGGAAGGGGUGAAAGAGUGAGAAAUAGUAGCCAGCAAGUGUAGAAAGAGAUGUGGAAGAGAGAACGGGGAAACAGAAAUUGCAUUUCUCCCACGUUCCAAAUGUAGGUUAUCCGGGUUAAAUGUAGGCCCCACCUGACUAGGCAAAGAUUUUUUCCUUUGUUGUGAGUUUGAAAAGAACUAAACAUCAUACUGAAGUGGAAUUAUUGAAAUUGGAUAGACCCAGGUUCAAAUGUUGACUCAGUUAUGUAACAUCUUGUGAAUUUUGACAGGUUCCUUAACUCCACUGAGUCUGUUUUUAUACCCAUGAAAUGGAUGUAGGAUUGUUAUGAACAUUAAUUGAAAAAUUAUAUAUAAAAUAAGUGUCCAGCAUAGUUCCUGGCACAUACUAGUGCUUGAAAACUACCAAUCAACUUCAUCAAUUUGUGUUAUGCCCUGCAUGGGCACAUAUUUGUCCUGAUACUCUUCAAAAUGUAGAAGUACCCACAGAAAAAUUGUCUCAGUUCAAGCACAGUAUUAUUAAUAUUCUACUGAGUACUAAGUAUGGUCGUUAAUAGUCUAAUAUGAGGAAGUCAAAACAGUCUCUGGAAAAAGUCUUUCUGCAAGCUUUUUGAAGCUUCAGGGAUUGCUACAAAGACUGGAAAAUCGAUCUUGAACUCAGCCUUUUAAUUUCUUUUCAUGAUUACUGUUCUCAAAUGGAGAAUGCAAUUAAAAUUAAUGCUGUCUUAGUUCACUUGCCUCAAAAUAAACAUUGAUCAAAUUCUAUGUG
rnacentral:lncRNA from 1 species